UGGGGAAUAUUGGACAAUGGGCGAAAGCCUGAUCCAGCAAUGCCGCGUGAGUGAAGAAGGCCUUAGGGUUGUAAAGCUCUUUCACCCGCGACGAUGAUGACGGUAGCGGGAGAAGAAGCCCCGGCUAAUUCCGUGCCAGCAGCCGCGGUAAUACGGAAGGGGCUAGCGUUGUUCGGAAUCACUGGGCGUAAAGCGCGCGUAGGCGGCCGGUCAAGUGCGGCGUGAAAGUCCUGGGCUCAACCCGGGGACGGCGCUGCGGACUGUCCGGCUGGAGUCCGGAAGAGGGUGGUGGAAUUCCGAGUGUAGAGGAGAAAUUCGUAGAUAUUCGGAGGAACACCGGUGGCGAAGGCGGCCACCUGGUCCGGUACUGACGCUCAAGCGCGAAAGCGUGGGGAGCAAACAGG
rnacentral:rRNA from 1 species